rnacentral:rRNA from 1 species
CACGUAGGGCGCGAGCGUUGUCCGGAAUUAUUGGGCGUAAAGAGCUCGUAGGCGGCCUGUUGCGUCCGCUGUGAAAGCCCGGGGCUUAACCCCGGGUCGGCAGUGGAUACGGGCAGGCUAGAGGUAGGUAGGGGAGAAUGGAAUUCCCGGUGUAGCGGUGAAAUGCGCAGAUAUCGGGAGGAACACCGGUGGCGAAGGCGGUUCUCUGGGCCUUACCUGACGCUGAGGAGCGAAAGCGUGGGGAGCAAAACGG